GGGGACCGCUUAAUUAACUGUUAGACCAGACUCCAUGAGUCCGUUUUGGCCAAUGGAUGUCCACUUAUAUGAUUCUCUGUUCUCAGAACUAUAUAUGGAUACCCACUUAACCUUAUUAAUACACCGUGUAGGUGUAAUUGUAAUAAUAUACUAUUAUAUUGGCCAAUAGAUCUUGGGGAAUUGUCUCUAGACACACUGUGAAUGGGUCGAUGAAUUCUUAAAUGAUACACGACAAAGACAUCCCA
rnacentral:lncRNA from 1 species